CAAAUCGAGUUCUUAAAAAACGCUAUUCUUUUUUUGUUGUAUUGUUUUUUCUUAACAUCCUGGUCGUCUGCCUGACUUAUCUUUUGCAAAGAAAAAGAAAAAAAAAAUUUUAAUUGAGGCGAAAGUUUUACAUAAUUUUGAGUAUUAGUGCCGCCAUAAGCAAAGCAGAACAAAGUACUCAUUGUAAUUUGUAAUUGGCCUUCGCUCACAGAAGGUAGCACGUGUUUUAAACUCAUUGCUUUGAUGAAAAUUGUGCUUCUUCACCUAACACUUCUGGGAAUAUCGUUCAGUGGAAAAUAUUCUUCAUCCUCAAUCACAUCAACUAAAAGCAAUGGCAGGAAAUCCUGCUCAGAUUUUAACAUUCUAUCUCCGUUGUUAAAGGAACCUUUCAAAAAAGGUUGGAAACGUGAAGUUGUCUACAGAGCCAUUGUUGGCAAUGAAAGAAGAAACAUGUGUGAUAUUUACUAUUUCACCCCAGAUGGGAAGAAGUUAAGAUCUGGGAGAGAACUUUCAAAUUAUUUGAACGGUACAAACAGCUCUUUUAAAUUAGAAAACUUCACAUUCUGCAGAGAACCUAUUGGCAUGGAUGUUAAACAUGAGGUGUUGCGUUUUGCCAGGUCAAAAACACAUCAAGAUGAAGAAGCAAGCAAAUGUGCUUUAAUCAUGAAUAAUGAAACAGUACGGACUCGUCCCAAAAAAGUUCUACGGCGUAGUUACCAAAAAGAGGACGACGAGGAGAAAGCACUGACGGCGAAAGAGUCAACAUCGAAGGCUAGUGCCCCAGUAAUUGGCGAUAAUAAUACUUCCUCCAAGCGUAACCAUACCAGACUUCGAAACACCCGUGCCCUAAUCCACAAAACAAUGCAUUCAUCCGAUUUAACCUUAACUCUGCAUAACUCAAGUUGUAAAUCCGAUAUUGGCUAUACCUCUGGACAAAGUAACAUUGAAGAAAGUUUUAAGUCACCAGUUUCAUCAGCUUCACCGAACCAGAUUUAUGAAGAAAAAACUGAAUCCCCGGUUCAGCAGUCAUUGGCCCUUACUCUGGAGUCGCCCGAAACGCUGCGGGAACCACAACCACACAGUUUGCCUCUUAUUACCCUUCUUCCAUGUGGUACGACUCUGGUCCUUUCCGAUUCGCAAAUCAUAACGAUCAUUUCUUCGAACAUCAACUCAAGUAUUACUCCAGUGAGAAGAAGUGAAACGAUUUCACCGAAGGUUUCCUUACCACCUGUUACCGACCUAUCUCAACUAACUGAUUUAUCAUCUGUAGCUUUUUUGAGUCCGAAAGCAGUCACCUCUUUGAAUAGUACGAAAUUCGAACAAUGUGCAAAAUCAAUUCCUGGUAGCACUCCGAUUCGCAGAAUUUUGUUACCGAAGACGGAUGGAUUCACGGUUCCUCGUUUUCUACCAGGUUAUGAAGGUCAGGUAUCGCUAGCUCCAUUUGGAACUGUUAACCGUAAGCGGUCGUAUUGGGCUAGUAUAGGUCAAGCAAUAAUCGAAGAGGGAUUGAAGAAGGCUAUGCUUGCACAUGCGUGCCCAACAAGUGGAAUGGUAGAGGAAACUCCUGUCCGUGUGACGGAAAAGCGUAGAAAACAUGUACCCAAAAGAUUUCAAGACGUUCUAAGACCUCCAUCACCAACAACUACCGUCCAAUUGACUUGUAAAGAUUAUUUUGCACUUCGUAAACAGCGUCGUCAACAGCAACUCUUUAGCCAAUCUUCCGUCACUGGAAGCAGUAUUACAAGCAACUAGCAACCAUGUUACAAACAAAUCGACAAAGAAAACUUCGAGCUAAAAUGAUGAUAGAAAAAGCUUUUCUAAUCUCCUGUGAUUCCCAAGACAGUGACCCUGUGCUACUCCAAAUGCAUGUUCUUAAACGACAUCAGCAGUCAUUAAAACACCUACUUGAAGGGGCAUUUCCUACUAGCAUGGUAACAUGUUCACUUAAAAGCAAUUGGUACAUGCCUUGUAUCUACCAAUCCAUUGUUUUUCGUUUUGAGCAUUAUGUCCCGACAAGCAAAGUUAUUUUCAAUUUAGCCGUUUUUGAGACUGCUUACCUGGACUGCCUGCUGAUUUUAAUUUUAUCUUGUGCAAUUUUUUCACGCUAAUUCAUUUUUUCGUACCUACCUUAUUCUUUUAACAAACUGAGGACAACUAAUACUUAGUAGACGGAAGGGAAAAAAUUCUCUGUAUUAUGGGACAGGGAUUCAUUUAAUAUAAUCAUGUAUGUUGUAUUAAAUAAUAUUUUUAGUCAUUUCGGUUUUGCCUGUUCUGAUGUUGGUAAACGGAACAUUGGAUGAGUGAAUAGAAAAAAGCAUGUCGUAAUUCGAAAUUGACCAUUGUAUCGAUGAUGCUAUGUAGUCAGCCAUGUGAACGCUGAAAAUGUUACAAAACCUUUUUACUUAUGUUUAUGUAUUUUGUAUAUGUCAAUUGAUUUUUGUUACCUUUUUGAAAUCCUACUGCAAACUCUGCAAAUAGCCAAAUGAAAAAACAUGUGUAAAAUGUAAAGUCAAAUGUCAAAUAGUAAAAGUAAAAAUUUUUUAAUGAAAAA
rnacentral:misc_RNA from 1 species